rnacentral:rRNA from 1 species
GUAGGUGGCAAGCGUUGUCCGGAAUUGUUGGGCGUAAAGCGCGCGCAGGCGGUUCUUUAAGUCUGAUGUGAAAGCCCACGGCUCAACCGUGGAGGGUCAUUGGAAACUGGAGAACUUGAGUACAGAAGAGGAAAGCGGAAUUCCACGUGUAGCGGUGAAAUGCGUAGAGAUGUGGAGGAACACCAGUGGCGAAGGCGGCUUUCUGGUCUGUAACUGACGCUGAGGCGCGAAAGCGUGGGGGAGCAAACAGGAUUAGAUACCCUGGCAGUCCACGCCGUAAACGAUGAGUGCUAAGUGUUAGGGGGUUUCCGCCCCCCCCUUAGUGCUGCAGCUAACGCAUUAAGCACUCCCGCCUGGGGAUACGGCCGCAAGGCUG